UCCGUAGGGGCUGUGGGGUUGAGGGUGGGGCAAAUAUCAAAUGCCCAGAGGUCUCUGAUCCAGUGCAUGGUGACGCAGAGAUUCUUGACGCUGAGACGAAAUGCCGGAGUUUCUCCUACAGUAUGGUAAUCAUGGAAUUUCCAGUGGGAAAUGAGGAGUUGGGGAGGGGAUGAUUCGAAGACAUUUGAAACAGUCCGAGGUCGAAACUUCGGGCCCUCUGAGGGAGGUACAGGAAGGCUGCAGAAGACAAACAUUCGCCUUAUAAAGUUUGUUUGGAAAGCACGCAUCUUGGAGUUGAUUAUUGCACUGGAUUCGUUUCUCCGACACCUAUCGGCGAUCAUCAGCACCUCUUGAGAUCUCUAAUGCACGGUGAAUUUUAAAUGCUCGCGACGGGUUCCCUUCGCAGUGCUAACGAAGGAGAGAUGACGGGGUUUCCCCGGGAUCCGAUUAUUGCUGGAAACGGCGGCGCCGAGUCUGAUCGCACAAUAACUUUAAGGGUGUCGGCUUCAAAUCAGGGUCGACAAGCAUUUGGAAGAAGCGCUCUGUGGAAACGUACUGUGGAUUGCAAUUAUCCGAGAACCUGCAAAUGUAUUUUAAACGCGGUGCUCUGUGGAUCAGUUUAAAACCCUGCGAGAUUGGGCUAAUCGACUCAACUGGGCCAGACCUGGUUUUUCUUCCACGAAGACUCUAUCCAGGCUAGGAGAUAAUGGCAUUUUGGGCACCCAGUUAGGGAGCAAUGCUGCAAGGGACUGUGGGAUGAAAUGGACACGUGGGCUGCUACGGAGUCCCUCUCCACAAGUGCAGAUGGCUGUGCGUGGAGAGGCUCGAUGCCAGAAUAUAAAUAAUGGAGAAUCACUCUGUUUUAUUAGCUUAAUCGUCUCAAGAUUCUACCUUGGGGACCCAGUUCAGGGUGUAUAAUUAAUUUACCCUGCGAUCUGAUAUUUAUCUGGGACCACGUAAACCGUCGUUAAAUGGAAUAUCUCACGGGCUAAUAUGAUUCUGAAGUGCUAGAACAAUGCCCAAGAAGAUCUUCAUUCUCAUCUGAGCCAGUGAAAAUGACUUCUGGGAAGCCGUUUGGGAUGGAAAUGAGUUACUUCCAAAAGCCUUCCAGCCCAUACGUCCAUUAGACUUCAGCAAUCAGGGAAACUUCAAGAAAUUUAGUGCUACUUAUGGAAAGAAGGGUUUAAGGACUUCCCAGGCCCCCCGGAGUUGGAAAGUCCAUCCGGAGAAAUUCCAAGGGGGGAAGAGAAGGCCCAGGAAAAUCUUGACUGGAAUGGGAGAAGACGGACGGUUACAGAUUAUUUACAAAUAGAGGAAGUAAGGAGAAGACCGAGCAUGGAACAAGUAAG